rnacentral:rRNA from 1 species
AACACAUGCAAGUCGAGCGGGCGUAGCAAUACGUCAGCGGCAGACGGGUGAGUAACGCGUGGGAACAUACCUUUUGGUUCGGAACAACACAGGGAAACUUGUGCUAAUACCGGAUAAGCCCUUACGGGGAAAGAUUUAUCGCCGAAAGAUUGGCCCGCGUCUGAUUAGCUAGUUGGUUAGGUAACGGCUCACCAAGGCGACGAUCAGUAGCUGGUCUGAGAGGAUGAUCAGCCACAUUGGGACUGAGACACGGCCCAAACUCCUACGGGAGGCAGCAGUGGGGAAUAUUGGACAAUGGGCGCAAGCCUGAUCCAGCCAUGCCGCGUGAGUGAUGAAGGCCCUAGGGUUGUAAAGCUCUUUUGUGCGGGAAGAUAAUGACGGUACCGCAAGAAUAAGCCCCG